rnacentral:rRNA from 1 species
GACGAACGCUGGCGGCGUGCUUAACACAUGCAAGUCGAACGAUGAACCCGGAGCUUGCUCUGGGGGAUUAGUGGCGAACGGGUGAGUAACACGUGAGUAACCUGCCCUGGACUCUGGGAUAAGCGUUGGAAACGACGUCUAAUACCGGAUAGGACCUUGGAUCGCAUGAUCUGGGGUGGAAAGUUUUUUCGGUCUGGGAUGGACUCGCGGCCUAUCAGCUUGUUGGUGAGGUAAUGGCUCACCAAGGCGUCGACGGGUAGCCGGCCUGAGAGGGUGACCGGCCACACUGGGACUGAGACACGGCCCAGACUCCUACGGGAGGCAGCAGUGGGGAAGAGUGCACAAUGGGCGAAAGCCUGAUGCAGCAACGCCGCGUGCGGGAUGACGGCCUUCGGGUUGUAAACCGCUUUUAGUAGGGAAGAAGGGCUUCGGCUUGACGGUACCUGCAGAAAAAGGACCGGCUAACUACGUG